rnacentral:rRNA from 1 species
CUACGGGAGGCAGCAGUAGGGAAUCUUCGGCAAUGGACGGAAGUCUGACCGAGCAACGCCGCGUGAGUGAUGAAGGUUUUCGGAUCGUAAAGCUCUGUUGUUAGGGAAGAACAAGUGCGAGAGUAACUGCUCGCACCUUGACGGUACCUAACCAGAAAGCCACGGCUAACUACGUGCCAGCAGCCGCGGUAAUACGUAGGUGGCAAGCGUUGUCCGGAAUUAUUGGGCGUAAAGGGCUCGCAGGCGGUUUCUUAAGUCUGAUGUGAAAGCCCCCGGCUCAGCCGGGGAGGGUCAUUGGAAACUGGGAAACUUGAGUGCAGAAGAGGAGAGUGGAAUUCCACGUGUAGCGGUGAAAUGCGUAGAGAUGUGGAGGAACACCAGUGGCGAAGGCGACUCUCUGGUCUGUAACUGACGCUGAGGAGCGAAAGCGUGGGGAGCGAACAGGAUUAGAUACCCUGGUAGUCCACGCCGUAAACGAUGAGUGCUAAGUGUUAGGGGGUUUCCGCCCCUUAGUGCUGCAGCUAACGCAUUAAGCACUCCGCCUGGGGAGUACGACCGCAAGGUUGAAACUCAAAGGAAUUGACG